rnacentral:rRNA from 1 species
GAUAAGGUUAAGUGAAUAAGGGCGCACGGUGGAUGCCUUGGCACUAGGAGCCGAUGAAGGACGGGACUAACACCGAUAUGCUUUGGGGAGCUGUAAGUAAGCUAUGAUCCAGAGAUUUCCGAAUGGGGGAACCCAAUAUCUUUUAUAGGAUAUUACUUUUCAGUGAAUACAUAGCUGAUUAGAGGUAGACGCAGAGAACUGAAACAUCUUAGUACCUGCAGGAAGAGAAAGAAAAUUCGAUUCCCUGAGUAGCGGCGAGCGAAACGGGAAGAGCCCAAACCAACAAGCUUGCUUGUUGGGGUUGUAGGACUCCAAUAUGGUAGUCUGUUAGUAUAGUUGAAGGAUUUGGAAAAUUCCGCUAAAGAGGGUGAAAGCCCCGUAGACGAAAUGCUGACAACACCUAGGAGGAUCCUGAGUACGGCGGAACACGAGAAAUUCCGUCGGAAUCCGCGGGGACCAUCCCGCAAGGCUAAAUACUCCCUAGUGACCGAUAGUGAACCAGUACCGUGAGGGAAAGGUGAAAAGCACCCCGGAAGGGGAGUGAAAUAGAUCCUGAAACCGUGUGCCUACAACAAGUCAAAGCUCGUUAAUGAGUGAUGGCGUGCCUUUUGUAGAAUGAACCGGCGAGUUACGAUUGCAUGCGAGGUUAAGUCGAAGAGACGGAGCCGCAGCGAAAGCGAGUCUGAAUAGGGCGAAU